UGGGGAAUCUUGCACAAUGGGGGAAACCCUGAUGCAGCGACGCCGCGUGAGCGAUGAAGGUUUUCGAAUCGUAAAGCUCUGUCCUAUGGGAAGAUAAUGACGGUACCAUGGGAGGAAGCCCCGGCUAAUUCCGUGCCAGCAGCCGCGGUAAUACGGAAGGUCCGGGCGUUAUCCGGAUUUAUUGGGUUUAAAGGGAGCGUAGGCUGUCUAUUAAGCGUGUUGUGAAAUUUACCGGCUCAACCGGUGGCUUGCAGCGCGAACUGGUCGACUUGAGUAUGCAGGAAGUAGGCGGAAUUCAUGGUGUAGCGGUGAAAUGCUUAGAUAUCAUGACGAACUCCGAUUGCGCAGGCAGCUUACUGUAGCAUAACUGACGCUGAUGCUCGAAAGUGCGGGUAUCAAACAGG
rnacentral:rRNA from 1 species